rnacentral:rRNA from 1 species
ACUGCUCAGUAACACGUGGCCAACCUGCCCUCGGGAGGGGGAUAACCCCGGGAAACUGGGGCUAAACCCCCAUAGGGGAUGGGUGGUGGAAUUCCCCCAUCCCCGAAAGUGUGCCGUUCCCGUAAGGGGCGGCACAGCCCGAGGAUGGGGCUGCGGCGGAUUAGGUAGUUGGCGGGGUAACGGCCCGCCAAGCCGAAGAUCCGUACGGGCCAUGAGAGUGGGAGCCCGGAGAUGGACCCUGAGACAAGGGUCCAGGCCCUACGGGGCGCAGCAGGCGCGAAACCUCCGCAAUGCGGGAAACCGCGACGGGGUCAGCCGGAGUGCCCGCGCAUCGCGCGGGCUGUCGGGGAGCCUAAACAGCUCCCCAUAGCAAGGGCCGGGCAAGGCCGGUGGCAGCCGCCGCGGUAAUACCGGCGGCCCGAGUGGCGGCCACUAUUAUUGGGCCUAAAGCGUCCGUAGCCGGGCUGGUAAGUCCCCCGGGAAAUCUGGCGGCUUAACCGUCAGACUUCCGGGGGAUACUGCCAGCCUAGGGACCGGGAGAGGCCGGGGGAAUUCCCGGGGUAGGGGUGAAAUCCUAUAAUCCCGGGAGGACCACCUGUGGCGAAGGCGCCCGGCUGGAACGGGUCCGACGGUGAGGGACGAAGGCCAGGGGAGCGAACCGGAUUAGAUACCCGGGUAGUCCUGGCUGUAAACGAUGCGGGCUAGGUGUCGGGCCAGCUACGAGCUGGCCCGGUGCCGGAGGGAAGCCGUUAAGCCCGCCGCCUGGGGAGUACGGCCGCAAGGCUGAAACUUAAAGGAAUUGGCGGGGGACCAC